UGGGGAAUAUUGCACAAUGGGCGCAAGCCUGAUGCAGCCAUGCCGCGUGUGUGAAGAAGGCCUUCGGGUUGUAAAGUACUUUCAGCGGGGAGGAAGGGAGUAAAGUUAAUACCUUUGCUCAUUGACGUUACCCGCAGAAGAAGCACCGGCUAACUCCGUGCCAGCAGCCGCGGUAAUACGGAGGGUGCAAGCGUUAAUCGGAAUUACUGGGCGUAAAGCGCACGCAGGCGGUUUGUUAAGUCAGAUGUGAAAUCCCCGGGCUCAACCUGGGAGCUGCAUCUGAUACUGGCAAGCUUGAGUCUCGUAGAGGGGGGUAGAAUUCCAGGUGUAGCGGUGAAAUGCGUAGAGAUCUGGAGGAAUACCGGUGGCGAAGGCGGCCCCCUGGACGAAGACUGACGCUCAGGUGCGAAAGCGUGGGGAGCAAACAGG
rnacentral:rRNA from 1 species